rnacentral:rRNA from 1 species
AACGAACGCUGGCGGCAGGCUUAACACAUGCAAGUCGAGCGCCCCGCAAGGGGAGCGGCAGACGGGUGAGUAACGCGUGGGAAUCUACCCAUCUCUACGGAAUAACGCAUGGAAACGUGUGCUAAUACCGUAUACGUCCUUCGGGAGAAAGAUUUAUCGGAGAUGGAUGAGCCCGCGUUGGAUUAGCUAGUUGGUGGGGUAAAGGCCUACCAAGGCGACGAUCCAUAGCUGGUCUGAGAGGAUGAUCAGCCACACUGGGACUGAGACACGGCCCAGACUCCUACGGGAGGCAGCAGUGGGGAAUAUCGGACAAUGGGCGCAAGCCUGAUCCAGCCAUGCCGCGUGGGCGAUGAAGGCCCUAGGGUUGUAAAGCUCUUUCACCGGUGAAGAUAAUGACGGUAACCGGAGAAGAAGCCCCGGCUAACUUCGUGCCAGCCGCCGCGGUAAUAC